GACGAACGCUGGCGGCGCGCUUAACACAUGCAAGUCGAGCGAUGAAAUUUCGACAGAUCCCUUCGGGGUGAAGAUGAAAUGGAUUAGCGGCGGACGGGUGAGUAACACGUGAGUAACCUGCCUUAGACAUUGGGAUAGCCUCGGGAAACCGGGAUUAAUACCAAAUGAAAUCACAUAUGCACAUGCAUAAAUGAUCAAAGCUCCGGCGGUCUAAGAUGGACUCGCGUCCCAUUAGCUAGUUGGUGAGGUAACGGCCCACCAAGGCGACGAUGGGUAGCCGGCCUGAGAGGGUGAACGGCCACAUUGGAACUGAGAAACGGUCCAAACUCCUACGGGAGGCAGCAGUGGGGAAUAUUGCACAAUGGAGGGAACUCUGAUGCAGCGACGCCGCGUGAACGAAGAAGGCUUUCGAGUCGUAAAGUUCUUUUAUAUGGGAAGAUAAUGACGGUACUAUAAGAAAAAGCCCCGGCUAACUACGUGCCAGCAGCCGCGGUAAUACGUAGGGGGCCAGCGUUGUCCGGAAUCACUGGGCGUAAAGGGUUCGCAGGCGGAAAUGCAAGUCAGGUGUAAAAGGCAGUAGCUUAACUACUGUAAGCAUUUGAAACUGCAUAUCUUGAGAAGAGUAGAGGUAAGUGGAAUUUUUAGUGUAGCGGUGAAAUGCGUAGAUAUUAAAAAGAAUACCGGUGGCGAAGGCGACUUACUGGGCUCAUUCUGACGCUGAGGAACGAAAGCGUGGGUAGCAAACAGG
rnacentral:rRNA from 1 species